rnacentral:rRNA from 1 species
AACUUACUUAGCUUGCUUUGAAAGUUUCUAGUGGCGAACGGGUGAGUAACACGUGAGUUACCUGCCUCGAAGUGGGAGAUAGCCCGGGGAAACUCGGAUUAAUACCCCAUGUGAUCGUAAGAUUAAAGGCGGCUUCGGCUGUCGCUUCGAGAUGGGCUCGCGGCCUAUCAGUUAGUUGGUGAGGUAAAAGCUCACCAAGACGAUGACGGGUAGCUGGUCUGAGAGGACGAUCAGUCACACUGGAACUGAGACACGGUCCAGACACCUACGGGUGGCAGCAGUCGAGAAUCAUUCGCAAUGGACGAAAGUCUGACGGUGCGACGCCGCGUGGAGGAUGAAGGCCCUAGGGUCGUAAACUCCUGUCAUCAGGGAGUAAUUACUUAUGUAGUAACUGACAUAGGUCUUGAUAGUACCUGAAGAGGAAGGGACGGCAAACUUCGUGCCAGCAGCCGCGGUAAUACGAAGGUCCCAAGCGUUGUUCGGAUUUACUGGGCGUAAAGCGUCUGUAGGCGGGAUGGUAAGUCAGAUGUGAAAUCCCGGGGCUCAACCCCGGAACUGCAUCCGAUACUGCCAACCUAGAGGGUCGGAGGGGAGUCUGGAAUUCUUGGUGUAGCAGUGAAAUGCGUAGAUAUCGAGAGGAACACUCGUGGCGAAGGCGAGACUCUGGACGACACCUGACGCUGAGAGACGAAGGCCAGGGUAGCGAAAAGGAUUAGAUACCCUUGUAGUCCUGGCAGUAAACGGUGCACGCUUGGUGUGGGAAGGUUCGACCCUUUCCGUGCCGGAGCUAACGCGUUAAGCGUGCCGCCUGGGGAGUACGGUCGCAAGAUUAAAACUCAAAGAAAUUGACGGGGACCCGCACAAGCGGUGGAGCAUGUGGCUUAAUUCGAUGCAACGCGAAGAACCUUACCUGGGCUUGACAUGUUAGUCGUAGAUUUGUGAAAGCUUAUCGUCACUUCGGGUGGACUAUCACAGGUGCUGCAUGGCUGUCGUCAGCUCGUGUCGUGAGAAGGUUGGGGUUAAGUCCCGUAACGAGCGCAACCCCUAUGAACUGUUGCCAGCGGAUAAUGC